GGAUGCGAUCAUACCAGCACUAAAGCACCGGAUCCCAUCAGAACUCCAAAGUUAAGCGUGCUUGGGUGAGAGUAGUACUAGGAUGGGUGACCUCCUGGGAAGUCCUCGUGUUGCAUUCC
rnacentral:rRNA from 1 species